rnacentral:lncRNA from 1 species
GGGGGGAAGAUCUUAUUGCAUAUAAUCUGGCUGGUUUGUUACUCUCUAUGAUUGUAGGGAUUUUUAGAUAUAGUAGUCUGCUUUCUUGGAUAUCUGGAUUCAAACUCAAAAAGCUACUCUGUUUUGCACAAAAACAGGUUCGGCUGCUCAACUUCGAUCAAACAGUAAGAAAUCCUUGAAGAUGCUUGGAGCCUAGGUUGUGCAUGCCCAACUCAUCUUGUGCCCAACUCAUUUAUAAUCUGGUCGAAAAAUGGUAACUCAUAUUCCGUUCAUCUAUUUCAUAUGGACCCUUGCCAACCCAGCUAGCAUUUCACUUGUUAAUUAUAUCUUAGUAAAUCAUAAUAAAUUAUGGUAAUAGAGAAUUUAGGGUUGUAUCCAAUUGGAGUACAUGAACAAGAA